rnacentral:rRNA from 1 species
UGGGGAAUAUUGCACAAUGGAGGAAACUCUGAUGCAGCGAUGCCGCGUGAGGGAAGAAGGUUUUAGGAUUGUAAACCUCUGUCUUCAGGGACGAAAAAAGGACGGUACCUGAGGAGGAAGCUCCGGCUAACUACGUGCCAGCAGCCGCGGUAAUACGUAGGGGGCGAGCGUUGUCCGGAAUUACUGGGUGUAAAGGGAGCGUAGGCGGGAUCGCAAGUCAGAUGUGAAAACUAUGGGCUUAACCCAUAAACUGCAUUUGAAACUGUGGUUCUUGAGUGAAGUAGAGGUAAGCGGAAUUCCUAGUGUAGCGGUGAAAUGCGUAGAUAUUAGGAGGAACAUCAGUGGCGAAGGCGGCUUACUGGGCUUUAACUGACGCUGAGGCUCGAAAGCGUGGGGAGCAAACAGGAUUAGAUACCCUGGUAGUCCACGCCGUAAACGAUGAUUACUAGGUGUGGGGGGACUGACCCCUUCCGUGCCGCAGCAAACGCAAUAAGUAAUCCACCUGGGGAGUACGACCGCAAGGUUGAAACUCAAAGGAAUUGACGGGGGCCCGCACAAGCAGUGGAGUAUGUGGAUUAAUUCGAAGCAACGCGAAGAACCUUACCAGGUCUUGACAUCGUAUGCAUAGCUCAGAGAUGAGUGAAAUCUCUUCGGAGACAUAUAGACAGGUGGUGCAUGGUUGUCGUCAGCUCGUGUCGUGAGAUGUUGGGUUAAGUCCCGCAACGAGCGCAACCCUUACUGUUAGUUGCUACGCAAGAGCACUCUAGCAGGACUGCCGUUGACAAAACGGAGGAAGGUGGGGAUGACGUCAAAUCAUCAUGCCCCUUAUGACCUGGGCCUCACACGUACUACAAUGGCUGUAAACAGAGGGAAGCAAAGCCGCGAGGUAGAGCGAACCCCUAAAAGCAGUCUUAGUUCGGAUUGUAGGCUGCAACCCGCCUACAUGAAGUCGGAAUUGCUAGUAAUCGCAGAUCAGCAUGCUGCGGUGAAUACGUUCCC